rnacentral:rRNA from 1 species
GACGAACGCUGGCGGCGUGCUUAACACAUGCAAGUCGAACGGUGAAGCGCCUUCCUUUUUGGUGGGUGUGGAUGAGUGGCGAACGGGUGAGUAACACGUGAGUAACCUGCCCCCUUCUUCUGGAUAACCGCAUGAAAGUGUGGCUAAUACGGGAUAUUCUGGGUCUGUCGCAUGAUGGGUCUGGGAAAGAUAUUGUUUCGGUGGGGGAUGGGCUCGCGGCCUAUCAGCUUGUUGGUGGGGUGAUGGCCCACCAAGGCGGUGACGGGUAGCCGGCCUGAGAGGGUGGACGGUCACACUGGGACUGAGACACGGCCCAGACUCCUACGGGAGGCAGCAGUGGGGAAUAUUGCACAAUGGGCGCAAGCCUGAUGCAGCGACGCCGCGUGAGGGAUGGAGGCCUGCGGGUUGUGAACCUCUUUCGCCAGUGAAGCAGGCCUGCCUCGUUUGUGGGUGGGUUGACGGUAGCUGGAUAAGAAGCGCCGGCUAACUACGUG